rnacentral:lncRNA from 1 species
GUGACUCCCAGCUCCACUGCUCCCAUGUGUGGCCGUGGGAGGCCACGUCUCCACGUGGAGCCCCGCUGCUUGCCCACAGAGGUGGUGUCGGGCUCUAACUAAAGUCAGUCUCUGGCCAGUGCUGGCCUCAGGGAGCAUCUCCCCCAGCCCAGCUCACCUGGAGGCAGCUGCCUUCAGGACCAGGACACUGCAGUUCAAGGGUCCCCAGGACCACGCUCAGGCUCAACGAUUCGCAAGAAUUCUCACAGAACGGAGCCAAGCCUCUGCGGUCACCAUGACGGUUUAUCGCAGCAGAAGCACAGAGAUGAAGACAGCACAGCGGAGGGGCAGGUCCUGGAGAGACGGGCGCUUCCAGUCGCCCCCUCCCAGCGGAGGCCUGUGGACGGCGCACAGCUCUCCCAGAACCACGUGGGACAACACGAGACAGGGUCGCCAACCAGGGAAGCCCCCCGAGCUUUGUGUCCAGGUGCUCAGUGUGUGUCGGUCACGUAGGCACAGCUGACCCCCGUGCGGCUGACCCUAGCCUCCAGCCUCUGCAGAGGUCGAGCCCAAGGCUCCCCGUAAAUCCCGUCACCAGCAGAGACUCGCCGGCGUGGCCCAGGGCCCCAGGGAACAAAGACACUCCGAUCAGGCAGGACUCCCCAGGGCUGGAGGGUCCCUCCCGGGAGCUGGGCCAGGGCCAGACCAGGGUGUGGGCGCCCCCGGUCUGCUGAGUUAACCCUUCGCUGCCCAGUGACCACGUCCCCCGCACCGUGUUGGGAGGCAGCAGCCCGCAUGAGCCUCCCCAGGCCAGGGAGCGAGGAGAAGAAGAGUGUGAGGCCGGACUGCAGCCCCUGCCUGACACACGGCAGGCACGGCGGGAGCAGGGUGGUGCCAGGGCGGGUGCCGGGGCGGAGGCUGGAUGGGGGUCCCGGAGCCAGCCUGCGCCAGGGCCCAGAUCCACCCCCGGAUCUCACGCUGCAGCCCACGCUCCUCCACGCACCCCCUCUGCCUCUUCAGCAGCAGAGCGAGCUGGGCCCAAGCCUCGAGGGACCCUGAAAGCAGGGGGCCCGGGAGUUCGGCUGGCAAACAGUUUCCGGUCAGUCACUCUCGGUUCUUCCUCACCUUCAGAUGGAGUUGGGACUUUGACACGAGCGCCCUUCACAGCGGCCACGCCGCUGGGCCCUGCUCAGACCUGCCCUGCAGCACUGAGAAGAGCGAGGUGGGACCACUUCCGUCGGGGAACGUGCAGCAAGCGUCUGCGACAGGAAGGGCGAUGCUGAACCCGCCGGGAUGGAGCUCGGAUUCCCGACAGCAGGAGGGAGGUCCUGGGGGGCCUUCCUGCUGCCCACCCACCACCUGGAACCAGAGUGUCGAUUCCAGAACCGCCUCUG